rnacentral:rRNA from 1 species
GACGAACGCUGGCGGCGUGCCUAAUACAUGCAAGUUGAACGCUAAAGCUUUAACUGGUGCUUGCACCGACCUAAGUUUUUAGAGUAGCGGACGGGUGAGUAACACGUGGGUAACCUGCCCAUCAGAGGGGGAUAACACUUGGAAACAGGUGCUAAUACCGCAUAAUUCCUUUUACCGCAUGGUAAAAGGCUGAAAGGCGCUUCUGGUGUCACUGAUGGAUGGACCCGCGGUGCAUUAGCUAGUCGGUGGGGUAACGGCCUACCGAGGCGAUGAUGCAUAGCCGACCUGAGAGGGUGAUCGGCCACAUUGGGACUGAGACACGGCCCAAACUCCUACGGGAGGCAGCAGUAGGGAAUCUUGCGCAAUGCGCGAAAGCGUGACGCAGCAACGCCGCGUGGGGGAAGACGGCCUUCGGGUUGUAAACCCCUUUCAGGAGGGACGAAGGUUCGCCGGUGAAUAGCCGUGCGGAUUGACGGUACCUCCACAAGAAGCUCCGGCUAACUACGUGCCAGCCGCCGCCGUAAUAC